rnacentral:rRNA from 1 species
GGAUUCCCCUAGUAACGGCGAGUGAAGCGGGAUGAGCUCACCAUGUGAAUCUGCGCAACCAGCAAUGGUGCGCCGAAUUGUGGUCUGAAGAAGUAUUGUCGGCCGCGAGUCCGGGUUAACUGUAUUGGAAAAUACGGCCUGUGAGGGUGAAAGCCCCGUUCAUGCCUGGACUUGUUGCGCUUUGGCACAUGCUUUCUACGAGUCGAGUUGCUUGGGAUUGCAGCUCAAAUUUGGUGGUAAAUUCCAUCUAAAGCUAAAUAUUGGUGUGACACCGAUAGUGUACAAGUACCGUGAGGGAAAGAUGCAAAGAACUUUGAAAAGAGAGUUAAAGAGUACCUGAAAUUGUUAAAAGGGAAGCGAAGGAAUCCAGUGUAAAGCGAAGCCAUUCUUCUCAAGCCACUUGUGGUUUGGGCGCUGUGGUUAGCUGUACUAAUUCUGGGCUUGACCUGGGGCAUACGUUCUUCGAGUAGACGACUCUUCGGAGUGAGUGCUCGUUUUUCAUAUCCUGGGUCGGGCUGAGGUCAGUCACUCUGUGCUCGUGAUGAAUUAGGAAAUGGAUUUCUUUACCCCGUCUUGAAACACGGACCAAGGAGUCUAACAUAUGUGCAAGUACGUCAGUGGCAAACUGAUAUGCGUAAUGAAAGUAACAGUGGUAGGAACCUUCGGGUGCACUAUCCGCCGGCCAUAAUCCUUCGGGAGAAAGGUCUGAGUGUGAGCAUACAUGUUGGGACCCGAAAGAUGGUGAACUAUGCCUGAGUAGGGCGAAGCCAGGG